UACGAAGGGGGCUAGCGUUGUUCGGAUUUACUGGGCGUAAAGGGCGCGUAGGCGGGCGAUUAAGUCAGGGGUGAAAUCCCACAGCUCAACUGUGGAACUGCCUUUGAUACUGAUUGUCUUGAGUCCGGGAGAGGUGAGUGGAACUGCGAGUGUAGAGGUGAAAUUCAUAGAUAUUCGCAAGAACACCAGUGGCGAAGGCGGCUCACUGGCCCGGAACUGACGCUGAGGCGCGAAAGCGUGGGGAGCAAAC
rnacentral:rRNA from 1 species